UUAGCUUUGUUUCUAAUCCCAUGAUCAGAAAUAUGGAUGGUAAAGGCCAUUUUGAUGAGGUCUCCGAUGGAAAUGAGAAAUAAGGUAUUGGAAACUGGAAUAAAAGCCACCUUUGUUAUAUGCGUGCAAAGAUUUGGCAGAAUCGUGUUCAUGUCCUAGGACUUAGUGGAAGGCAGAAUUUAAGAGUCAUAAACUAGCAUAUAUAGCAGAAAAAAUAUCUAAGCAGCAAAAUGUUUGAGAUGCCACAUGACUACUUUUGGCUAUGUACAGCAAAAUGAGAGAAAAACGAUUUAAAGACAGAAUUUAUAAUUAAAAGAGAAGCAGAACAGAAAGAUUUGGAAAACUCUCAGCUUGACCAUGUAAAAAAUACAAAAGCAUGUUGGGGAGAGAAUACUAAGGGUGUGACCAAGAGACUGCUAAAGAGACUAAUAUGGGUAGAAGGAAGCCAGAUUCUAUUCAGAGGCCUUUGAGGCAAGCUAGGAUCUUGAGGGCAAGGUUUCUAGAGAGGUACCCCUAGGACUUGAGCAUUUGCUGCCCUGUGCCACCUUGGGACUCUGCUCCUUCAAUUCUGGAGCAGUACCCCUUGGCUGCCCCUGCUGUGGCUCAAGCAGGCCCAAGUGCAGCUCGACUUGCUGCUCCAGAAAGUAUAACCUGUAAACCUUGAUGGUGUCCACAUGGUGCUAAUUCUGUAGGCACACAGAAUGCACGAGUUGUGGAACCAUGGCUUCCUUUGUCUAGAUUUCAAAGAAUUUCAUGGACAGCCUGGGGAACCAAGCAGAGACUUGUCAUAGGGAUGGAGCCACUGCAGAGGGCUCCCACUAAGGCAACACUUAGUGGAACUGUGGGAGUGGGGCUGUCCCAAGACCACAGAACUACAGGACCACGAAUGUGCAACUCCAGCCUGCGAAGGCUGGAGGCAUGAGACUUCAACCCAUGAGAGCUGCUGGGUGGACUGAGCCCAGCAAAGCCAUAGGGGCAGGGCUGCUCAAGACCUUGGGGGCCCAGCCCAGCUCUAGUGUGCCCAAGAUGCAGGACGCAGAGUCAAAGAUCAUUCUCCAGCUUUAAGACUUAAUGUUGGCUGGGCACGGUAAUCCCAGCAGUUCGAGAGGCUGAGGUGGGUGGAUCGCUUGAGCCCAGGAGUUCAAGACCAGCCUGGGCAACAUGGCCAAAUCCCAUCUCUACAAAAACUCGGGGAGCUGAGGUGAGAGGAUCGCUUGAGCCCAGGAGGUUGAAGCUGCAGUGAGCUGUGACACUGUGAUCCCAUCACUGUACUCCAGCCUGGGUGACAGAGAGGGAGACCUUAACUCAAAAAAAAAAAAAAAAAAAAAAAAAAGAAGAAGACAAUGUUUUUUUUUUUUCUGUUGGAUUUUGGACUUACUUGGGACCAGUUACCCCUUUCUUCUUGCUUAUUUCUCCCUUUUGGAAUGGGAAUGUCUAUCCUAUGCCUGUCCCACCAUUGUAUUUUGGAAGAAAGUAAUUUGCUAUUUUCAUAGGCUAACAUCUGGAGAGAAAUUUGCCUCAGGAUGAAUUGCACCUGGAGUCUCUCCUGUCUGAUUCAAAUGGGACUCUGGACUUUGGAAUUUUGAGUUGGUGCUGGAACGAGUCAAGACUUUGGGGCUAUUGGGAUGGAAUUAAUCUAUUUUAGACAUGAGAAGGACAUGGAUUUUGGGAGUCAAGGAAGAAUGCUACGGCUUGAAUGUGUCCUCCGAAGUUCAUGUGUUGGAAACCUAAUCCCCAAUGCAGCAGUACUGAGAAGUGAGACCUUUAAGAAGUGAUGAGGUAAUGAGGACUCUGUCCUCAUAAACAGAUUAAUCCUGUUUUCAUGGGAGUGGGUUUCUAUCAUAAGAAGGGUUCCUGAUAAAUAGAUGAGUUUGGCUCCCUUUUCUUCUCUUCUCUUCUCUUCUCUUCUCUUCUUUCUCUUCCCUUCCCUUCUCUUCUCUCUCUUUCUCUCUCUCAUGCAAAAGCGUGUUCUCUUGCCUUUCUGCCCUUCACUAUGGGAUGACGCAGGAAGGAGGCCCUUGCUAGAUGCAUGCCCCUCAACCUUGGACUUCCUAGCCUCCAGAACUGUAAGAAAGAAAUCUCUGCUUGUUAAAAAUUACCCAGUCUCAAGUAUUCUGUUAGAGCAGCACAAAACAGACUAAGACAUGUUUCUAGAAGUGAGCUCAAGUGUGUCAUAAAAAACUGAAAAGAUUUCAUUUGAAAGUUGUACACAAAUUCAAUAUUUAAUAACUCCCCUAAAAUUCUGCAUUUUAAUUUUCUUCCCAUAAUUGUAUAAUAUGAGGAAAAUGUAAGAAAUUCCUUUUCACUCAACUCUAGUACCCCUAACCCUCUUCAGUUUACUCCAGUGUGCCAUAAAAUAUUUCACUUUCUCUGUGUCCCAGGUUGUGAAUGCCCUAACACAUUUACAUCUAGUCACAUUACAUAGAAACACUAGCACAUACAGACAGAUAUGUGCACACGGGGACAUGUGUACAUGGAAAUUCAAAUUUGCACUCACAUUCAGACCAGCCGAUAAGCACAAUGAGACACUCAUAUACAGACACACAAACAUUCCCCGUUAACUGCACAGAAGCAGCUAGGCAUGCAUGUAGAUACCCACACACCAGCAAAUAGCUCAAAGAUACACACGCAUACAAUAUACAGAUAUAACUAUAUAACUGCCUUUCUUUCUUUUUUUUUUUUUGAGAUGGAGUCUCGCUCUGUCACCCAGGCUGGAGUGCAGUGGCGCAAUCUCGGCUCACUACAAACUCUGCCUCCUGGGUCCACGCCAUUCUCCUGCCUCAGCCUCCCCAGUAGCUGGGACUACAGGCACCUGCCAUCACGCCCGGCUAAUUUUUGUUGUGUUUUUUAGUAGAGACAGGGUUUCACCAUGUUAGCCAGGAUGGUCUCGAUCUCCUGACCUGAUGUACAAAAUGAGACGGGUAAGGGGCGCGGGGCAGGGGUGAAGGGCUGUAGGGGUGCCCCAACAAGAAAUUUCUAACUUUUUGUUAAUAAUUAAUCCCCUUCCCACUGUGGUUUCUGUUGUCUUUUUUUUUUUUUUUUGAGACGGAGUCUCGCUCUUGUUGCUCAGGCUGGAUUGCAAUGGUGCGACCUUGGCUCACUGCAUCCUCUGCCUCCUGGGUUCAAGAAAUUCUCCUACCUCAGCCUCCCGAGUAGCUGGGAUUACAGGCACCCGCCACCAUGCCUGGCUAAUUUUUGUAUUUUUAGUAGAGACGGGAUUUCUCCAUGUUGGCCAGGCUGAUCUCGAACUCCUGGCCUCAGGUGAUUCACCCGCCUCGGCCUCCCAAAGUGCUAGGAUUACAGGCAUGAGCCACUGCGACCGGCCGUCAUUUUUUUAAUUAAAUUUUUUUUUGGUUGAGGCACGAGAAUCGCUUGAACCCGGGAGGCAGAGGUUGCAGUGAGGUAAGAUGGUGCCGCUGCACUCCAGCCUGGGCGACAAGAGCAAGGCUGUGUCUCAAAAAAUUUUUUUGUUUCACUUUUUACCUCUUGUGUAUAUGUAGAGAGUUUACAGGGAAAUGUGUACUUUAUGGAAUAAAUUUUAAGAACUAUAUAUAUAUAUGUGUGUGUGCGUGUGUGUAUGUGUGUGUGUGUAUAUAUAUAUAUAUAUAAUAUACACUUUGUUUUGUUUUUUUUUUGAGACAGGGUCUCGCUCUGUCGCCCAGGCUGGAGUGCGAUGGCGAGAUCUUGGUUCUCUGCAGCCUUGAACUCCGGGCUCAAGGGAUCCUCUCACCUCAGCCUCCCAAGUCGCUGGGACUACAGGCAUGUGCCACCAUGCCCGGCUAAUUUUUCUAUUUUUUGUAGAGACAGGUUCUGGGUUUUUUUUUUUUUUUUGAGACAUGGUCUCACUCUGUCACCCAGGCUGGAUUAUAGUGCCAUGAUCAUGGCUCACUGCAGCCUCGAACUCCUGGGCUCCAGUGAUCCUCCCACCUCAGCCUCCUGAGUAGCUGGGACUAUAGGUGCACACCACUACACCUGGCUAAUUUUUAUAUUUUUUGUAGAGGUGGGGUUUCGCCAUGUUGCUCAGGCUGGUCUCAAACUCCUGGGCUCAAGCAAUCCGCCCACCUUGACCUCCCAAAGUGCUAGGAUUACAGGUGUGAGUCACCACACCUGGCCUAAAACAUAUUUUAUUUAAGAUAAAGUAAUGGAUCUUUAAUCUUAUACAGCUAAAUUGCUGAUUAUAUAUUUGUUGAGCUGAUUUAAGGUUAAAAAAUUGUAUUUAACAAAAAUUAGCCCGGCAUGGAGGCGGAGGUUGCAGUGAGCUGAGACCGGGCCACUGCACUCCAGCCUGGGCGACAGAGUGAGACCCUGUGUCACACACAAAAAUUGUAUUGAGAGUUUUAUUUUUAUUUUAUUUUAUUUUAUUUUUUAUUUUUUGAGACGGAGUCUUGCUCUGUUGCCCAGGCUGGAGUGCAGUUGCGCG
rnacentral:lncRNA from 1 species